rnacentral:rRNA from 1 species
AUUGAACGCUGGCGGCAGGCCUAACCCAUGCAAGUCGAACGAGUGGCGGACGGGUGCGUAAUGUCUGGGAAAAUGCACGAUGGCGGGGGAUAACUAAUGGAAACGGUAGCUAAUACCGCAUACCAUCGGAUGUGCCCAGAUGGGAUUCGAGAGUAGGUGGGGUAACGGCUCACCUAGGCGACGAUCCCUAGCUGGGCUGAGCGGAUGACCAGCCAUACUGGAACUUAGAAAGGGGCCAGAUCCCUACGGGAGGAAGCAGUGGGGAAUAUUGCACAAGGGGCGCAAGCCUGAUGCAGCCAUGCCGCGUGUAUGAAGAAGGCCUUCGGGUUGGAAAGUACUUUCAGCGAGGAGGCGUUACUCGCAGAAGAAGCACCGGCUAACUCCGUGCCAGCAGCCGCGGUAAUAC